CAGUCGCCGCGGUAAUACGAAGGGGGCUAGCGUUGUUCGGAAUUACUGGGCGUAAAGCGUGCGUAGGCGGUGAGUUAAGUCUGCUGUGAAAUCCCCGGGCUCAACCUGGGAAUGGCAGUGGAUAUUGGCUCGCUAGAGUGUGUCAGAGGAUGGUGGAAUUCCCGGUGUAGCGGUGAAAUGCGUAGAUAUCGGAAGGAACACCUGUGGCGAAAGCGGCUCACUGGACCAUAACUGACGCUGAUGCACGAAAGCUAGGGGAGCAAACAGGAUUAGAUACCCGCGUAGUCCCUGUCUCUUAUAC
rnacentral:rRNA from 1 species